UACAGAGGGGGCAAGCGUUGUUCGGAAUUACUGGGCGUAAAGGGCGCGUAGGCGGCCUGUUAAGUCGAACGUGAAAUCCCCGGGCUCAACCCGGGAACUGCGUCCGAUACUGGCAGGCUUGAAUCCGGGAGAGGGAUGCGGAAUUCCAGGUGUAGCGGUGAAAUGCGUAGAUAUCUGGAGGAACACCGGUGGCGAAGGCGGCAUCCUGGACCGGCAUUGACGCUGAGGCGCGAAAGCCAGGGGAGCAAACAGG
rnacentral:rRNA from 1 species